UACGUAGGGGGCGAGCGUUAUCCGGAGUUACUGGGCGUAAAGCGCACGCAGGCGGUCAGAUUAGUCUGUCGUGACAGUCGUCGGCUUAACUGACGAAGUACGAUGGAAACUGUCUGACUUGAGGGCUUCAGAGGGACACGGAAUUCCGGGUGGAGUGGUGAAAUGCGUAGAUAUCCGGAGGAACACCGAUGGCGAAGGCAGUGUCCUGGGAAGUACCUGACGCUCAGGUGCGAAAGCUAGGGGAGCGAACAGG
rnacentral:rRNA from 1 species